CCUACGGGAGGCAGCAGUGAGGAAUAUUGGUCAAUGGGCGGGAGCCUGAACCAGCCAAGUCGCGUGAGGGAAGACGGUCCUAUGGAUUGUAAACCUCUUUAGGCGGGGAGCAAUGCCGGGCACGCGUGCCCGGAGGGAGAGUACCCGCAGUAUAAGCAUCGGCUAACUCCGUGACAGCAGCCGCGCUAAGACGGAGGAUGCGAGCGUUAUCCGGAUUUAUUGGGUUUAACGGGUGCGUAGGCGGAUUGUUAAGUCAGCGGUAAAAUGUCGGGGCUCAACCCGGGCCGGCCGUUGAAACUGGGGAUCUUGAGUGGGCGAGAAGUAUGCGGAAUUCGUGGUGUAGCGGUGAAAUGCAUAGAUAUCACGCAGAACUCCGAUUGCGAAGGCAGCACACCGGCGCCCGACUGACGCUGAGGCACGAAAGCGUGGGGAUCGAACAGGAUUAGAUACCCUAGUAGUC
rnacentral:rRNA from 1 species